ACGUAGGUGGCAAGCGUUGUCCGGAUUUACUGGGCGUAAAGGGCGUGCAGGCGGUUUGUUUAGUCUAGGGUGAAAGCUCCCGGCUUAACUGGGAGAGGUCCUUGGAUACUGGCAAACUUGAGGGAGGCAGAGGAAAGUGGAAUUCCCGGUGUAGUGGUGAUAUUCGUAGAUAUCGGGAGGAACACCAGUGGCGAAGGCGGCUUUCUGGGCCUUACCUGACGCUGAGACGCGAAAGCGUGGGGAGCGAACCGGA
rnacentral:rRNA from 1 species